CAUUUGUCUUUUAAUUAAAGGCUGGAAUGAACGGUGAAACGAGAAACUUUCUGUCUCAGUUUAAAUUUUUAAAAGUUGACUUAAGGGUGCAAAGGCCUUUAUAAUCUCAUUGGACGAUCAGACCCUAUGGAGCUUAAGUUAAUUACAGUUAAGAUCUUUAAAGCUAUGACUUUAAAUUUAUUUUGGUUGGGGCGACGGGAAGUAAUUUUAUCACUUCUUUAAUUAAACAUAAAUAAAUGAAUAAUUGAACCCUUUUGGGGGAUUAAAAGACUUAGUUACCCUAGGGAUAACAGCGUUAUUUUUCUGGAGAGUUCAUAUCGAUAGAAAAGUUUGC
rnacentral:rRNA from 1 species